GACGAACGCUGGCGGCGUGCUUAACACAUGCAAGUCGAACGGAAAGGCCUUUUCGGAGGUACUCGAGUGGCGAACGGGUGAGUAACACGUGGGUGAUCUGCCCUGCACUCUGGGAUAAGCCUGGGAAACUGGGUCUAAUACCGGAUAGGACCGCACUUUAGUGUGUGUGGUGGAAAGUUUUUUCGGUGUAGGAUGAGCCCGCGGCCUAUCAGCUUGUUGGUGGGGUAAUGGCCUACCAAGGCGGCGACGGGUAGCCGGACUGAGGGGUUGGUCGGCCACAUUGGGACUGAGGUACGGCCCAGACUCCUACGGGAGGCAGCAGUGGGGAAGAUUGCACAAUGGGCGCAAGCCUGAUGCAGCGACGCCGCGUGGGGGAUGACGGCCUUCGGGUUGUAAACUCCUUUCGCCAGGGACGAAGCGUUUUGUGACGGUACCUGGAGAAGAAGCACCGGCUAACUACGUG
rnacentral:rRNA from 1 species